GCGUGGAGGGGAGUGGCUGCAUUGUCGGGAGGCGGUACGGGUCUUGCCUUGGUACCCGAUGGAGAGGGUGUGGCCAAAGGAGAGGAAGAAAGCGGUCCUAGUGCUGGGGCUGCGUCCUUCCUUGGGGGUGUGACCUGAGGGGGUCGCAGAGCCUGCAGUCCUUUCGGCUUGGGCUGCGAGGGAUGCGCAGGAGCCCUGGGUGUUCCGCGGGCUGAGGGCCCAGAACGGGCUGGGGAGGAGAGAGGGGUGGCGCUGGAGCUCAGGGAGCGCGAGGCCGGCCUCUGGAGACCCCCACCGGCGCUGGGCCGCCUCCUGGCAGCCGGGCUUGGCUCGGUGGUACUGUGCUCCGAGGCGCUGCUCACUGAUUUCCGGGGGCCCUCUGUCGGGGGCCGUGGCCGGGCACUCGGAGCUGGCCGGGGGAGCCCCACCUCGGUGCCCGCAGCCCGGGACCGACGGGCCAUGGCCGGGGACGGGGUUCCUGGGGUAGGCCCGGAAGUGUCUGGAGAAAAAGUAGAAGGCCAAGGGUCACCGAUACCUCUGAGGCGGCUCCCCUUGCUGCCCAGGAACCCCACUCUUCUCCAGGUCACGUACCUCUCCGUGCCCCAGCGCUGAGGGCACUCCUUUUGGGAGCCUCUGUAGCUUUUCCUCUGGCCACAGUUUCCUCCGCUGAGAUCCGGAGUCCCUUCUGGCCAAGAGGGCCUGGCCUGGAGACAGAAGGGGCCACGCUCAGGCCUAGGUCUUUGUUUGGCUUCCCAAGUCUCUAUUUUCCCAUCUGUGAAAUGGGCAUGUGCCCUCUCUGAGGACCAAUAAUGGCUUUCACCCAAUUUGUGCCCAGUGACCUGCAAGUGCUCCCGCGCCCCAACUCGUGUAAAAUAAAAGGUUCCAGACUCUG
rnacentral:lncRNA from 1 species